rnacentral:rRNA from 1 species
CGCGUAGGCGGCUGAUCAAGUCAGUAGUGGAAGUCCAUAUUUCAAGUAUGGAAGUGCUAUUGAAACUGAACAGCUUGAGUGCAGGAGAGGUUAUCGGAAUUCCCGGUGUAGCGGUGAAAUGCGUAGAGAUCGGGAGGAACACCAGUGGCGAAGGCGGGUAACUGGACUGCAACUGACGCUGAGGCGCGAAAGUGUGGGGAGCAAACAG